rnacentral:rRNA from 1 species
UUUUACGGAGAGUUUGAUCCUGGCUCAGGACGAACGCUGGCGGCGUGCUUAACACAUGCAAGUCGAACGAUGAAGCUGGAGCUUGCUCCGGUGGAUUAGUGGCGAACGGGUGAGUAACACGUGAGCAAUCUGCCCUUGAC